rnacentral:rRNA from 1 species
AGAAUCAACGCUGGCGGCGUGCCUAACACAUGCAAGUCGAACGAGAAAGUGGAGCAAUCCAUGAGUAAAGUGGCGACCGGGUGAGUAACACGUGACUAACCUACCUUCGAGUGGGGGAUAACCUCGGGAAAACCGAGGCUAAUACCGCAUAACAUCGCAAGAUCAAAGCAGCAAUGCGCUGGAAGAGGGGGUCGCGGCUGAUUAGCUAGUUGGCGGGGUAAUGGCCCACCAAGGCGAAGAUCGGUAGCCGGCCUGAGAGGGCGCACGGCCACACUGGAACUGAAACACGGUCCAGACUCCUACGGGAGGCAGCAGUGGGAAUUUUGCGCAAUGGGGGAAACCCUGACGCAGCAACGCCGCGUGGAGGAUGAAGCCCCUUGGGGUGUAAACUCCUUUCGACCAAGACGAUAAUGACGGUACUGGUGGAAGAAGCACCGGCUAACUCUGCGCCAGCAGCCGC